rnacentral:rRNA from 1 species
AAUACCGGAUAAUAUUUUGAACCGCAUGGUUCAAAAGUGAAAGACGGUCUUGCUGUCACUUAUAGAUGGAUCCGCGCUGCAUUAGCUAGUUGGUAAGGUAACGGCUUACCAAGGCAACGAUGCAUAGCCGACCUGAGAGGGUGAUCGGCCACACUGGAACUGAGACACGGUCCAGACUCCUACGGGAGGCAGCAGUAGGGAAUCUUCCGCAAUGGGCGAAAGCCUGACGGAGCAACGCCGCGUGAGUGAUGAAGGUCUUCGGAUCGUAAAACUCUGUUAUUAGGGAAGAACAUAUGUGUAAGUAACUGUGCACAUCUUGACGGUACCUAAUCAGAAAGCCACGGCUAACUACGUGCCAGCAGCCGCGGUAAUACGUAGGUGGCAAGCGUCAUCCGGAAUUAUUGGGCGUAAAGCGCGCGUAGGCGGUUUUUUAAGUCUGAUGUGAAAGCCCACGGCUCAACCGUGGAGGGUCAUUGGAAACUGGAAAACUUGAGUGCAGAAGAGGAAAGU